UAGGGAAUCUUCCACAAUGGGCAAAAGCCUGAUGGAGCAACGCCGCGUGUGUGAUGAAGGGUUUCGGCUCGUAAAACACUGUUGUAAGAGAAGAAUGACAUUGAGAGUAACUGUUCAAUGUGUGACGGUAUCUUACCAGAAAGGAACGGCUAAAUACGUGCCAG
rnacentral:rRNA from 1 species